AUUGAACGCUGGCGGAAUGCUUUACACAUGCAAGUCGAACGGCAGCACGGACUUCGGUCUGGUGGCGAGUGGCGAACGGGUGAGUAAUGUAUCGGAACGUGCCCAGUCGUGGGGGAUAACGUAGUGAAAAUUACGCUAAUACCGCAUACGAUCUAUGGAUGAAAGCGGGGGAUCGCAAGACCUCGCGCGAUUGGAGCGGCCGAUAUCAGAUUAGGGAGUUGGUGGGGUAAAGGCCCACCAAGCCAACGAUCUGUAGCUGGUCUGAGAGGACGACCAGCCACACUGGAACUGAGACACGGUCCAGACUCCUACGGGAGGCAGCAGUGGGGAAUUUUGGACAAUGGGCGAAAGCCUGAUCCAGCUAUUCCGCGUGCAGGAUGAAGGCCCUCGGGUUGUAAACUGCUUUUGUACAGAACGAAAAGGUUUCUACUAAUACUAGGAGCUCAUGACGGUACUGUAAGAAUAAGCACCGGCUAACUACGUGCCAGCAGCCGCCGUAA
rnacentral:rRNA from 1 species